rnacentral:rRNA from 1 species
ACUCCUACGGGAGGCAGCAGUGGGGAAUAUUGCACAAUGGGCGCAAGCCUGAUGCAGCCAUGCCGCGUGUAUGAAGAAGGCCUUCGGGUUGUAAAGUACUUUCAGCAGUGAGGAAGGUAUCGUAGUUAAUAGCUGCGGUAUUUGACGUUAGCUGCAGAAGAAGCACCGGCUAACUCCGUGCCAGCAGCCGCGGUAAUACGGAGGGUGCGAGCGUUAAUCGGAAUUACUGGGCGUAAAGCGCAUGCAGGUGGUUUGUUAAGUCAGAUGUGAAAGCCCGGGGCUCAACCUCGGAAUUGCAUUUGAAACUGGCAGACUAGAGUACUGUAGAGGGGGGUAGAAUUUCAGGUGUAGCGGUGAAAUGCGUAGAGAUCUGAAGGAAUACCGGUGGCGAAGGCGGCCCCCUGGACAGAUACUGACACUCAGAUGCGAAAGCGUGGGGAGCAAACAGGAUUAGAUACCCUGUAGCACAGAG